rnacentral:lncRNA from 1 species
CAUCACAGAGCAGACAUAGUCUUGUCACACAGCAGAGCUUAACAUCAGGGGAAGACAGACAGACCGAGGAAACCUUUACAGAGAUUCACAAACAGACAUAAUCUACAUUUCACACAUACAUUUCUUCUGUUCUCUGGAAGAGAUCUUCACUCAGUGUUAGUCCAGACACCUCCGUAAAGCUCAGGUUAUCAGUGACCCAUCAUGGUGUCUACCAUGGACAGUGCCAAGAUCCUCUUCUCUGUUCUGUUCCUCUGCGUCUGCUACCAGGUGACUCAGGGCCAGAUGGUGAUGGACUGCUGUCUGGAGCUUCCACACCAGAAAGGGACAUAAGCUGUGUGCCCCUACUGGCCCUGCCUGGGUUACUAACCUGAUUAAACACUUGGACAAGCCGACCAAGAUGUGCCACAACACCAACUUCAAGGGUAAACGCUGUAGGAAGGUGAAGCCCAAGCAUUCCUAAAGUCCCAAUUGGACCCCGUCCCUCCACCCUCACCACCACCUCCACCCCCCUUCUCCUGGUCCAUAGAACAAUGAAAGGACAUUCCAAGUGUGUGGGGGGGACAGGGGUGGGAGAAGUAAAAAAAAAAAAAUGAAUGGAAAAAUGUGAUUCCUCCUUCCACUAGUGCACUUUUUCAGUUUCCUUCCAUCUUCGGUUUUUAUCCAGCAUGCCAUGUUGUUUCCUUCUGUCUUCAGUUUUUACCCAGCAGACCAUGUUGUUUCUCAGUGGCACAUUCAUGUACUAUAUAUAUUUUUUUUAAGUGACAAAAUGAUAAAUAACAGUCCAGAAAGAGUAAAUUAGCUUUGACCCCACAUGGGAACCUUAAAGCUACAGUCUGGGAUUUCAAAAGUAAUAAAACAACUAUUUUAUUAACAUGUAUAUAAUCAGGGGAGCCCCAUUGAGACCAGGGACUCAUUUUCAAUGGUGCCUUUAGAUCACAAAGCUACAACAUAAUGUGUUUAGCUAGCUGAUAUGUGAAAUACCUAUCCAGGCAUGGUCAGGUUUCAGCAACGCCUGGGCUGAGGAGAGUGCCCUAUAGCUUAAAGGUCAUAAGUCAGGGGUUAAAGGUCAGGGGUCAAAACAUACUAGCAGCUGGUUCAAACACCCAUCUUUAAAUUAAACUCAGAGACAAUCAAACAUUUUCUACCUUUUUGUGAACUUUGCAUUUAAUAAAUAUAUAUUUUCAUUGAUCUUUUUAAUGACUGUCAAAUCAAGAUUUUGAGUGAACUUGAAUUCCUUUUUGAAUUAAAUGAGACCUUUAAUGACUAAACUCAAAAGGUAAAAUAUUGUAGUUAAUUGAUACCCUGCUGUUGUCUAUUUUGAAGGAUACAAAUGAAACAUUGAGUAGAUGAAAUUUAAGGAACUGUAAAGUGACUGGUCCAUUUAUGGGUUUAACAUUUAUAAAAGGUGUUGUAGUCCCUAGCUACAGCUAUUGGUGCAGGUUUAGAGUGCAUCCUAAUUGGCACCCUAUUUGUCCUGGUUAAAAGAAGUGCACUAUGGAGGGAAUAUGUUGGGAUGCGGAUAAGAGUUUGUUUUUGAUUCAGACAUUGAGAGUCCAAAUAGAAGUCCCCAGAACUAAAAAAAAUCCAUCUUUAUCUACACUUCUGUUUAAAAUUGCUGAAUAAUUUUUUACAACUAGGGGCUAUUUCCAGAAGCCUAUUACACAAAGAAAGGCAUUUUUGGGGGGUGUUUAUUAUAGCAAUAGAGACAGAGAGCGAGAGCAAGCGAGGGAGAGAGAGCGAGAGUAGGCGAGAAAAAUACAUCUGAAAUGAAAACUACAGUGAAAGCUAAAGCCUUACCAAAUAGAGGUACAGCCAAACAAAAGAAGAAGUUAUAGCAAACAAGAGUAGAGCUCAGCCACCUUGUGAUUAGAAAUCUGUGAACUGAGAGAAAACUAAGAAUACUGGAACACACACACACACAAAAUGGGAACUGGGCCAGACUGUAGGAGUAUUGCUUCAUACUUCAUUUUAACACACACUUGAAUGUAUUGCAACAUUUACAAGGCGUGUUUUUCCAUAGAACUCCAGGCUAUGACAUCUGGGAGUUUUCACACCUCCUUUGGGAGAGAUGAAACAAAAUAUGGGGGAGUACAAUACGUAACACUACGUCAGAAUACACAGUUUAUAGUAUUUUUCUUUGGAGAUAUGUGUUUAAACAUCUUGAGAAGGGGGUGGAUGGGAAAACAAGCAUGCCAUGACUUCCUUUCCAGCGAAGAGGUUCACUCAUCCUGUUCUCCUUCUAGCAUGUCAUCUAGAUUGACAAAAUUAAUUUCACAGUCCAUAAAAUGUUGAUUACGUGCCGUCAAUGAAACACACAAUAAGAUAACUUUAUUGUGGUGAAGUAUUGGUUGCGGCUCUGUGCAUACAUAACGGAAGAUUGUCCUCUGUCUUAUACAGAGGAUAAAUACAGGUAGGAAGUUUAGUUUUCCACAAUUGUUUACACCCCUGUUUGCUGAAUCUUUGGGCCAUUUUCCCAAAACUCUAAAUACAAAACUCUACAAAUCUCUAGCAAAAGCAAACACUACAUUCAAACUGUUCUCUUUACAAUAGGUUUUUGUAGCAGCACACGUCAUAUGAAUAGCUCUGUCUACCAACCAACACACUGAUGUGCUCAACACGAAACUCUACUAUGAAUAUCCCAUCAUUUAUGUAUUUUGCAUUUUCAGUGUUACACUGUAG